rnacentral:rRNA from 1 species
ACAUGCAAGUCGAGGGGCAGCAUGGUCUUAGCUUGCUAAGGCCGAUGGCGACCGGCGCACGGGUGAGUAACACGUAUCCAACCUGCCGUCUACUCUUGGACAGCCUUCUGAAAGGAAGAUUAAUACAAGAUGGCAUCAUGAGUCCGCAUGUUCACAUGAUUAAAGGUAUUCCGGUAGACGAUGGGGAUGCGUUCCAUUAGAUAGUAGGCGGGGUAACGGCCCACCUAGUCUUCGAUGGAUAGGGGUUCUGAGAGGAAGGUCCCCCACAUUGGAACUGAGACACGGUCCAAACUCCUACGGGAGGCAGCAGUGAGGAAUAUUGGUCAAUGGGCGCAGGCCUGAACCAGCCAAGUAGCGUGAAGGAUGACUGCCCUAUGGGUUGUAAACUUCUUUUAUAAAGGAAUAAAGUCGGGUAUGUAUACCCGUUUGCAUGUACUUUAUGAAUAAGGAUCGGCUAACUCCGUGCCAGCAGCCGCGGUAAUACGGAGGAUCCGAGCGUUAUCCGGAUUUAUUGGGUUUAAAGGGAGCGUAGAUGGAUGUUUAAGUCAGUUGUGAAAGUUUGCGGCUCAACCGUAAAAUUGCAGUUGAUACUGGAUAUCUUGAGUGCAGUUGAGGCAGGCGGAAUUCGUGGUGUAGCGGUGAAAUGCUUAGAUAUCACGAAGAACUCCGAUUGCGAAGGCAGCCUGCUAAGCUGCAACUGACAUUGAGGCUCGAAAGUGUGGGUAUCAAACAGGAUUAGAUACCCUGGUAGUCCACACGGUAAACGAUGAAUACUCGCUGUUUGCGAUAUACUGCAAGCGGCCAAGCGAAAGCGUUAAGUAUUCCACCUGGGGAGUACGCCGGCAACGGUGAAACUCAAAGGAAUUGACGGGGGCCCGCACAAGCGGAGGAACAUGUGGUUUAAUUCG